GAAGAGCUAGAGAUAAAAUAUCCUGACAAAGCUAGGGGGGUAGCAAAAUUCAACGUUCCUUUAGCACAUCUCAUAAAUGCUGCAGCUGAUUUCUUGAUGAUUCCAAGUAGAUUCGAACCCUGUGGUCUUAUCCAGUUGCAAGCUAUGCCUUAUGGAACAGUAAGUCACUAAAAAUCGCAUAUAUAUAUAUAUUUAUAGUCAUCUCUAUUUCUUACCGGAUACAAUUCAAAAUAGUUAAAACAUACCCUUGAGGGUUGCCGCAAACUUCUGUUAGCACGCCCAACACAAUAGCUUGAUUAUGUUGUAUGUUUCAAUUUCAGAUUCCCUUGGUAAGCACAACUGGUGGACUUGCCGACACUGUUAU
rnacentral:lncRNA from 1 species